UUAAGGUACAAAGGGCACGCGGGGAAUGCCUUGGCGCCAGAUGCCGAAGAAAGACGCAGCCAGCUGCGAAAAGCCGCGGGGAGGAGCAAGCAUCCCUUGAUCCGCGGAUAUCUGAAUGGGGAAACCUGCAUGGAGCAGUCCAUGCGCCCUUUAAUAGGGCGGCGACCCGGUGAAGUGAAACAUCUCAGUAACCGGAGGAAAAGAAAUCGAAAGAGAUGCCCCGAGUAGUGGUGAGCGAAAGGGGUACAGCCCAAACCGGAUGCAUGCCAAGCCUGCAGGCGUUGUGCAUUUGGGGUAGAGGGAUCCAUGAGCGAAGAUCUGCAGAUUUUCGGAGGAGUUACAAAAUAUUUUCAUAGUUGAACCGUGUUGGAAAAGCGGGCCGCAGAGGGUGAAAGCCCCGUAGACGAAAUGGAAAUAUCUUCUUUGAUGGACACCCAAGUAGUGCGGAGCACGUGCAAUUCCGUAUGAAUCAGGGCCGACCACGGUCUAAGGCUAAAUACAUCUGGCGACCGAUAGAGAAGCAGUACCGAGAGGGAAAGGUGAAAAGCACCCCUGGCGGGGAGUGAAACAGACCUGAAACCGCGUGCUUACAAGCAGUCGGAGCAUUUUUAUAAUGUGACGGCGUGCCUCUUGGAAAAUGAGCCGUCGAGUUAUGGUAUGUGGCGAGGAUAAGAACUACGAGGUUCGGAUCCGUAGGGAAACCGAGUCUGAACAGGGCGCAAGUCGCAUGCUAUAGACCCGAAGCCAUACGAUCUAUCCAUGUCCAGGUUGAAGACCGGGUAACACCGGUUGGAGGACCGAACCACAGCCUGUUGAAAAAGGCCUGGAUGAGGUGUGGAUAGGAGUGAAAAGCUAAUCGAGUAUGGUGAUAGCUGGUUCUCCCCGAAAUGCAUUGAGGUGCAGCCUUGUUUGGAAUAUUUAUGGGGGGUAGAGCACUGAAUGAGUAAGGGGGCAGAUGUGCCUACCGAGCUCAAUCAAACUCCGAAUACCCAUACAAUACAAACGGGAGUGAGACUACGGGUGCGAAGAUCCGUGGUCGAAAGGGAAACAGCCCAGCCCGACAGCUAAGGUCCCAAAGCCUGUGCUAAGUGUUACAAGGAUGUGGGGAAGCAAAGACAGCCAGGAGGUUGGCUCAGAAGCAGCCAUCCUUGAAAGAGUGCGUAACAGCUCACUGGUCGAGCGUCCCUGCGCCAAAAAUGUGGGGGGCUAAGCACAGCGCCGAAGCUUCGGAUUUAGUGGAAAUAUCCAUUAACUGGUAGGGGAGCGUUCCAUAUGGGACGAAGCAGGAUUGUAAGGUUCUGUGGACUUUAUGGAAGUGAGAAUGACGGCAUGAGUAGCGAAAAGUGUGCGAGAAACACACUCACCGAAAACCCAAGGAUUCCUGGGGAAGGCUCAUCCGCCCAGGGUUAGGCGGGACCUAAGGCGAGGCCGAAAGGCGUAGUCGAUGGACAACAGGUAGACAAUCCUGUCCUCCGUACGAUCGUUUGACCGAAGGAGUGACGCAGAAAGCUAUGUGCGCCGGGUGACGGAAGUCCCGGUCCAAGGAAGUAGGCUGACAGAGGAGGCAAAUCCCCUUUGUCUAAAGGCCGAGAUCUGAAGGGGUAGUGAGUUAUCACGGGAAGGCACAAAUGCUAUGCUGCCGAGAAAAGCUUCUAGGGAGAGAGUACGGACCCGUACUGAAAACCGACACAGGUGGGUUGGCUUAGAAGGCUAAGGUGAACGGGAUAACCCUUGUUAAGGAACUCUGCAAAUUGACCCCGUAACUUCGGGAGAAGGAGUGGCUGGAGAUGUCAAUACUAUACGUAAGAAGCAUCUUUGGUUCGCAGAAACCAGGCUCAGGCGACUGUUUAACUAAAACACAGGACUCUGCUGAAGGCGUAAGCCGAAGUAUAGGGUCUGACACCUGCCCGGUGCUGGAAGGUUAAAGGGAGAGGUUAGUCGCAAGGCGAAGCUUUGAACUGAAGCCCCAGUAAACGGCGGCCGUAACUAUAACGGUCCUAAGGUAGCGAAAUUCCUUGUCGGGUAAGUUCCGACCUGCACGAAAGGUGUAACGAUCUGAGCGCUGUCUCAACAGGGGGCCCGGUGAAAUUGUGGUACUGGUAAAGACGCCAGUUACCCGCAGUAGGACGGAAAGACCCCGUGGAGCUUUACUGUAACUUGAUAUUGGAUUUCGGUACACUCUGUAUAGGAUAGGUGGGAGACAGAGAAGGAAGUGCGCCAGCGCAUCCGGAGUCGUCCUUGGAAUACCACCCUUGGUGUGCUGGGAUUCUAACCGCUGCUGCUGAAUCGCAGAGCGGGACAUUGUCAGGCGGGCAGUUUGACUGGGGCGGUCGCCUCCCAAAGAGUAACGGAGGCGCGCGAAGGUCACCUCAGGGCGAAUGGAAAUCGCCUAAUGAGCGUAAGGGUAUAAGGUGGCUUAACUGUGAGACUGACAGGUCGAGCAGAAACGAAAGUUGGUCCUAGUGAUCCGGUGGUCCUGAGUGGAAAGGCCAUCGCUCAUCGGAUAAAAGCUACCCCGGGGAUAACAGGCUGAUACCGCCCAAGAGUUCAUAUCGACGGCGGUGUUUGGCACCUCGAUGUCGGCUCAUCGCAUCCUGGGGCUGAAGCAGGUCCCAAGGGUUGGUCUGUUCGCCCAUUAAAGCGGUACGUGAGCUGGGUUCAGAACGUCGUGAGACAGUUCGGUCCCUAUCCACUGUGGGCGCAGGGUAUUUGAGAGGAUCUGUCCCUAGUACGAGAGGACCGGGAUGGACGGACCGCUAGUGAACCGGUUGUUCCGCCAGGAGCAUAAGCCGGGUAGCCAUGUUCGGAUCGGAUAACCGCUGAAGGCAUCUAAGCGGGAAGCCGGCCUCAAGAUGAGAUACCCCAUUGCAAAAGCAAGUAAGGUGUCCGGAAGACUACCGGUUUGAUAGGUUGGGGGUGUAAGCGGGUAACGCCCGUUGAGCUGACCAAUACUAAUACACCGAGGCCUUAACCUC
rnacentral:rRNA from 1 species